rnacentral:rRNA from 1 species
UACGUAGGUGGCAAGCGUUGUCCGGAAUUACUGGGCGUAAAGCGCACGUAGGCGGCUUUCUAAGUCGGGGGUGAAAUCCUGGAGCUCAACUCCAGAACUGCCUUCGAUACUGGCGAUCUUGAGUCCGGAAGAGGUGAGUGGAACUCCUAGUGUAGAGGUGGAAUUCGUAGAUAUUAGGAAGAACACCAGUGGCGAAGGCGGCUCACUGGUCCGGUACUGACGCUGAGGUGCGAAAGCGUGGGGAGCAAACAGG